CCCCUAGUAACUGCGAGUGAAGCGGGAAAAGCUCAAAUUUGAAAUCUGACGGUUACGCCGUCCGAGUUGUAUUCUGGAGAAGCGUCUUCCGCGUCGGACCGUGUACAAGUCCCUUGGAACAGGGCGUCAUAGAGGGUGAGAAUCCCGUCUUUGACACGGACCCCCGGUGCUAUGUGAUGCGCUCUCGAAGAGUCGAGUUGUUUGGGAAUGCAGCUCAAAACGGGUGGUAAAUUCCAUCUAAAGCUAAAUAUUGGCGAGAGACCGAUAGCGAACAAGUACCGUGAGGGAAAGAUGAAAAGCACUUUGGAAAGAGAGUAAAACAGUACGUGAAAUUGUUGAAAGGGAAACGCUUGAAGUCAGUCGCGUCUGCCGGAACUCAGCCUUGCUUCUGCUUGGUGCACUUUCCGGUUUGACGGGCCAGCAUCGGUUUCGAGCGGCGGACACUGGCGCGGGGAAGGUGGCAGCUCCGGCUGUGUUAUAGCCCCGUGUCGCGAACGUCUCACGGGACCGAGGAAUCCGGCGCAAGCCUGGGAUGCUGGCGUAAUGGCUUUAAACGACCCGUCUUGAAACACGGACCAAGGAGUGCUAUGUGCUCGCGAGUGUUUGGGUGGAAAACCCGGACGCGAAAUGAAAGUGAAAGUCGAUACCCCUUUGCGGGGGGCACCGACGCCCGAGCCUGAAGUUUACGGAAGGCCUUGCGGUAGAGCGAGUGCGUUGCGACCCGAAAGAUGGUGAACUAUUCCUGAGGAGGGCGAAGCCAGAGGAAACUCUGGUGGAGGCUCGUAGCGGUUCUGACGUGCAAAUCGAUCGCAGGACUUGGG
rnacentral:rRNA from 1 species